GGAUAAUCUACCCUUAGGACCGGGAUAACCUUGGGAAACUGAGGAUAAUACUGGAUAGGCAAUUAUUCCUGUAAUGGUUUUUUGUUUAAAUGUUUUUUCGCCUAAGGAUGAGUCUGCGGCCGAUUAGGUAGUUGGUUAGGUAAUGGCUUACCAAGCCGUUGAUCGGUACGGGUUGUGAGAGCAAGAGCCCGGAGAUGGAACCUGAGACAAGGUUCCAGGCCCUACGGGGUGCAGCAGGCGCGAAACCUCCGCAAUGUGAGAAAUCGCGACGGGGGGAUCCCAAGUGCCAUUCUUAACGGGAUGGCUUUUCAUUAGUGUAAAGAGCUUUUGGAAUAAGAGCUGGGCAAGACCGGUGCCAGCCGCCGCGGUAACACCGGCAGCUCUAGUGGUAACAAUUUUUAUUGGGCCUAAAGCGUCCGUAGCCGGUUUAAUAAGUCUCUGGUGAAAUCCUGUAGCUUAACUGUGGGAAUUGCUGGAGAUACUAUUAGACUUGAGACCGGGAGAGGUUAGAGGUACUCCCAGGGUAGAGGUGAAAUUCUGUAAUCCUGGGAGGACCGCCUGUUGCGAAGGCGUCUAACUGGAACGGUUCUGACGGUGAGGGACGAAAGUUAGGGGCGCGAACCGGAUUAGAUACCCGGGUAGUCCUAACUGUAAACGAUGCGGACUUGGUGUUGGGGUGGCUUUGAGCU
rnacentral:rRNA from 1 species